UACGUAGGGCGCGAGCGUUGUCCGGAAUUAUUGGGCGUAAAGAGCUCGUAGGCGGUCUGUCGCGUCGGAUGUGAAAGACCGGGGCUUAACCCCGGUUCUGCAUUCGAUACGGGCUAGCUAGAGUGUGGUAGGGGAGAUCGGAAUUCCUGGUGUAGCGGUGAAAUGCGCAGAUAUCAGGAGGAACACCGGUGGCGAAGGCGGAUCUCUGGGCCAUUACUGACGCUGAGGAGCGAAAGCGUGGGGAGCGAACAGG
rnacentral:rRNA from 1 species